rnacentral:rRNA from 1 species
GAUGAACGCUGGCGGCGUGCCUAAUACAUGCAAGUAGAACGCUGAAGGAGGAGCUUGCUCUUCUGGAUGAGUUGCGAACGGGUGAGUAACGCGUAGGUAACCUGCCUGGUAGCGGGGGAUAACUAUUGGAAACGAUAGCUAAUACCGCAUGACAACAGUUAUUGCAUGAUAACUGUUUAAAAGGGGCAACUGCUCCACUACCAGAUGGACCUGCGUUGUAUUAGCUAGUUGGUGAGGUAACGGCUCACCAAGGCGACGAUACAUAGCCGGCCUGAGAGGGUGAUCGGCCACACUGGGACUGAGACACGGCCCAGACUCCUACGGGAGGCAGCAGUAGGGAAUCUUCGGCAAUGGACGGAAGUCUGACCGAGCAACGCCGCGGGAGUGAAGAAGGUUUUCGGAUCGUAAAGCUCUGUUGUAAGAGAAGAACGAGUGUGAGAGUGGAAAGUUCACACUGUGACGGUAUCUUACCAGAAAGGGACGGCUAACUACGUG